ACUUUCUUGGGUGUGAAUCUGUCUUUUUAGUUUACUCCUCCUGGUUAAAAAAUAAACUAUAGUGAACGACUGACGUUUGACAUUCGAUUGAGAGUGUUCUGUGUUCCAUUUGUUUAUGUUUUUAUUCUUUGUUUAUAUAAUUUAUAACCUAAACCUAGACAGUUUUGUUUUUAUUUUAAAUAAAACUGAAACUGUCUAAACUAAAAUGGAUAAUAUUCUUGAAGAACUUUUGUUUGGGGACGAAAUUAGCAAAUGCCGUUAUACAUUUAGCAGAUGUACCUACCUCAAAUUAUUCCAGAAGGAUGAGAUGAAAUUAAAUAUAUAUAAACCAUAAUUCAAUAUCCAAUUUAGAGAACAUUUUCGUAUGUCCAGAACUACUUUCCAGGAACUAUUUAAUUGUAUUGGUCAUAUCCACCAAUUUGAAAACAGAAUAAUUCUAUUGGAAAAAAUUAAUGUUUAUGAUGUGGAUGCUAAGUAAACCAGAUAAUUUGUUGCUGGGGAUACGUUUGGUUUGCCAAAGAGCUCUGGACAUAAGAUUUUCACCCAAAUAAUAUAGAAUUACAAAAAAUUGGAAAUAACUAAUCUUGAAUAUCAAUGUGUAUAUUGAGUUUAAUUUUAUUGUAAAUAUUCUAUAAUAUAAUUUUAUUGUAAAUAUUGUAUUAACACAUUUGUGGACACAUUUUCAUAUGCAGACAGUAAUUUCCCUUUGUAAGUACAUGUAUAUAUAGUCGUAUCUGCGAAUGGGUUAAUUGUAAAUCGUAAUCAAUAAAAAUUUUUUGUGAAUCAAUAAAAAACUGGUUUGUUUGAAAAUAAAUGUAGUACAAAUGUGGUUAUAA